rnacentral:rRNA from 1 species
GGGUUGUGAGGUUAAGCGACUAAGCGUACACGGUGGAUGCCCUGGCAGUCAGAGGCGAUGAAGGACGUGCUAAUCUGCGAAAAGCGCCGGCGAGGUGAUAUGAACCCUUGACCCGGCGAUGUCCGAAUGGGGAAACCCAGUGCAAUCCGUUGCACUAUCGUUAACUGAAUACAUAGGUUAACGAGGCGAACCGGGGGAACUGAAACAUCUAAGUACCCCGAGGAAAAGAAAUCAACCGAGAUUCCCCCAGUAGCGGCGAGCGAACGGGGAGCAGCCCGGAGUCUGAAUCAGCUUGUGUGUUAGUGGAACGGUCUGGAAAGUCCGACGGUACAGGGUGAUAGUCCCGUACACGAAAGCACACUUGCUGUGAACUCGAAGAGUAGGGCGGGACACGUGGUAUCCUGUCUGAAUAUGGGGGGACCAUCCUCCAAGGCUAAAUACUCCUGACUGACCGAUAGUGAACCAGUACCGUGAGGGAAAGGCGAAAAGAACCCCGGCGAGGGGAGUGAAAAAGAACCUGAAACCGUGUACGUACAAGCAGUGGGAGCCUCUUUAUGGGGUGACUGCGUACCUUUUGUAUAAUGGGUCAGCGACUUAUAUUCUGUAGCAAGGUUAACCGUAUAGGGGAGCCGAAGGGAAACCGAGUCUUAACUGGGCGUUAAGUUGCAGGGUAUAGACCCGAAACCCGGUGAUCUAGCCAUGGGCAGGUUGAAGGUUGGGUAACACUAACUGGAGGACCGAACCGACUAAUGUUGAAAAAUUAGCGGAUGACCUGUGGCUGGGGGUGAAAGGCCAAUCAAACCGGGAGAUAGCUGGUUCUCCCCGAAAGCUAUUUAGGUAGCGCCUCGUGAACUCAUCUUCGGGGGUAGAGCACUGUUUCGGCUAGGGGGCCAUCCCGGCUUACCAACCCGAUGCAAACUACGAAUACCGAAGAAUGUUAUCACGGGAGACACACGGCGGGUGCUAACGUCCGUCGUGAAGAGGGAAACAACCCAGACCGCCAGCUAAGGUCCCAAAGUCAUGGUUAAGUGGGAAACGAUGUGGGAAGGCACAGACAGCCAGGAUGUUGGCUUAGAAGCAGCCAUCAUUUAAAGAAAGCGUAAUAGCUCACUGGUCGAGUCGGCCUGCGCGGAAGAUGUAACGGGGCUAAACCAUGCACCGAAGCUGCGGCAGCGACGCUUAUGCGUUGUUGGGUAGGGGAGCGUUCUGUAAGCCGUUGAAGGUGUCCUGUGAGGGGUGCUGGAGGUAUCAGAAGUGCGAAUGCUGACAUAAGUAACGAUAAAGCGGGUGAAAAGCCCGCUCGCCGGAAGACCAAGGGUUCCUGUCCAACGUUAAUCGGGGCAGGGUGAGUCGACCCCUAAGGCGAGGCCGAAAGGCGUAGUCGAUGGGAAACAGGUUAAUAUUCCUGUACUUGGUGUUACUGCGAAGGGGGGACGGAGAAGGCUAUGUCAGCCGGGCGACGGUUGUCCCGGUUUAAGCAUGUAGGCGGAGGUUCCAGGUAAAUCCGGUACCUUGUUAACGCUGAGGUGUGAUGACGAGGCACUACGGUGCUGAAGUGAUAAAUGCCCUGCUUCCAGGAAAAGCCUCUAAGCAUCAGGUAACACGAAAUCGUACCCCAAACCGACACAGGUGGUCAGGUAGAGAAUACCAAGGCGCUUGAGAGAACUCGGGUGAAGGAACUAGGCAAAAUGGUGCCGUAACUUCGGGAGAAGGCACGCUGAUGUGUAGGUGAAGUCCCUGCGGACGGAGCUGAAAUCAGUCGAAGAUACCAGCUGGCUGCAACUGUUUAUUAAAAACACAGCACUGUGCAAACACGAAAGUGGACGUAUACGGUGUGACGCCUGCCCGGUGCCGGAAGGUUAAUUGAUGGGGUUAGCGGCAACGCGAAGCUCUUGAUCGAAGCCCCGGUAAACGGCGGCCGUAACUAUAACGGUCCUAAGGUAGCGAAAUUCCUUGUCGGGUAAGUUCCGACCUGCACGAAUGGCGUAAUGAUGGCCAGGCUGUCUCCACCCGAGACUCAGUGAAAUUGAACUCGCUGUGAAGAUGCAGUGUACCCGCGGCAAGACGGAAAGACCCCGUGAACCUUUACUAUAGCUUGACACUGAACACUGGUCCUUGAUGUGUAGGAUAGGUGGGAGGCUUUGAAGCGUGGACGCCAGUCUGCGUGGAGCCAACCUUGAAAUACCACCCUUUAAUGGCUGGUGUUCUAACGUAGACCCGUAAUCCGGGUUGCGGACAGUGUCUGGUGGGUAGUUUGACUGGGGCGGUCUCCUCCCAAAGAGUAACGGAGGAGCACGAAGGUUGGCUAAUCCUGGUCGGACAUCAGGAGGUUAGUGCAAUGGCAUAAGCCAGCUUGACUGCGAGCGUGACGGCGCGAGCAGGUGCGAAAGCAGGUCAUAGUGAUCCGGUGGUUCUGAAUGGAAGGGCCAUCGCUCAACGGAUAAAAGGUACUCCGGGGAUAACAGGCUGAUACCGCCCAAGAGUUCAUAUCGACGGCGGUGUUUGGCACCUCGAUGUCGGCUCAUCACAUCCUGGGGCUGAAGUAGGUCCCAAGGGUAUGGCUGUUCGCCAUUUAAAGUGGUACGCGAGCUGGGUUUAGAACGUCGUGAGACAGUUCGGUCCCUAUCUGCCGUGGGCGCUGGAGAAUUGAGGGGGGCUGCUCCUAGUACGAGAGGACCGGAGUGGACGCAUCACUGGUGUUCGGGUUGUCAUGCCAAUGGCACUGCCCGGUAGCUAAAUGCGGAAGAGAUAAGUGCUGAAAGCAUCUAAGCACGAAACUUGCCCCGAGAUGAGUUCUCCCUGAGACUUUAAGUCUCCUGAAGGAACGUUGAAGACGACGACGUUGAUAGGUCGGGUGUGUAAGCGCAGCGAUGCGUUGAGCUAACCGAUACUAAUGAACCGUGAGGCUUAACCUUACAACGCCGAAGCUGUU